UACAGAGGGUGCAAGCGUUGUUCGGAAUUACUGGGCGUAAAGGGCUCGUAGGCGGCCAACUAAGUCGGAUGUGAAAUCCCCAAGCUUAACUUGGGAACUGCAUCCGAUACUGGAUGGCUUGAAUCCGGGAGAGGGAUGCAGAAUUCCAGGUGUAGCGGUGAAAUGCGUAGAUAUCUGGAGGAAUACCGGUGGCGAAGGCGGCAUCCUGGACCGGCAUUGACGCUGAGGAGCGAAAGCUAGGGGAGCAAACGGGG
rnacentral:rRNA from 1 species